AUGUCCAUUUACAUUUCAAGGAACAAGCCAGCACCAUUUGCACUGUGGCUCUGGUGUCUGACUCUUCAGACCCAAACCUGUAUCCCUUCCCCCUGGCGAUGGAAAAGCUGGAGAAUUCACCUAAAGCUGGAUCAAGUAAAUGGAACAUCUAGAUGUAGGGUUGGUGUCUUCACAGACCACAUUCUUACCACAUGCAGCAGGAGGCAGGCUGUUGUUUCUACAAUGACUGGACAAAAAUACUGAGUCUUGUGCCAGUUGAACGAGAACAGCUUUGCAGCUGGUAUGCACUGGUACAACUGUGCCCGUUGUUAAAUGGUGAAACACUUCCCUAUAGUUGGUAAAUAGCUGCUUUCCCCCAUAGCUGCUUCCCCAUCAAUGGUCUCUCCCUUCCGUGGUCUCUCCAGCUCCUCCUCCCCGACCCCCAGCCCUUCAGUGGACUCCUUGAUUUAGCAAGAAAAGGAUCAGUGCCGGGUGUAAGAGGGGGCCUUCAGAACCCCGCUGUGGCAUCAUGUCUGCACCUAUUCUGAUUGGUUGGUGCCCUUGCUCUGCUGCUUGCUAGAUAUUUGGAAAAUUUUUCCCACAUUGGAUCACUCUUAAACCAAUCCCUGUGAUUAGGGAAAUUCCAUUUACUGCUUAGCUACACUUCUGAAUUUACACUGUGGCAAUAAGAAGACUUUUUCUUGAUGACUCUAGAGCAAGUUUGAAUAUGCACUAGAAUCACAUGGAAGACAUUUUACAAAUGCAAACUGUAUUUAUUUUUCUCUGACUUACUUCACUAUGUAUAACAGGCUCACUAGAACCGAAUUCAAAUAUGUUCUUUUUUAUGGCCAAGUAAUAUUCCAUUGUAUAUAGGUACCUCAUCUUCUUUAUGUAUGGCAGAAACCAACACAACAUUGUAAAAUGUUUAAUUUUCAAUUAAAA
rnacentral:lncRNA from 1 species